AGAUAGAGGUGCGGCUACAUCAGUAGACAUGGCCAGGGAGCCGGUUCCCGCUGAUCCAUGUUCAAAGGGGACGCCGCCGAAGAGCUGCUCUUCCGGUCGAGAGUUUGCUCUGGUCGUCUGGUUAACAGCCAGCCGACUGUCAUCAGGGUCAGGCUGAUGGAGAGCUGUCUG
rnacentral:ncRNA from 1 species